AUGACAUUGUAACCCACAUGUAUAUGUGUGGUACUGUUAGUGGUAUUUUAUUUCUGUAGGAUUUUGUUUUGUUAUUUAAUGUUCCCAGCAAUUUAGUUAUAUUUUCAUUUUGAGUUUUCUUGUCAUACCAGAAACCGCCAGCAGGUGGCUUGUGAGUUACACUCUGGUUUAGACAGCAGAAAACUAUUAGAAGAAGAAGAAAACCGUAGCUGGCUGUAGCACGUUGUGCGAAUUACUGCAUGCUAUAAGAUAAAUUCUUGAUUAAUUCCGGUAACGGUUAAGAGAAAAGAAGAUCCGUGACCUGAUCCCUGGCAGUAAAACACAUUUUUACUGUGAUUUUCUCUGGUGGGUUUUUUUAGAACCCCAUUCAACUUUGAAGACUGUCCAGCUGCAUAGCAUCGCAGGCCUGGAUUGGAUUGCUGAGCUCCAGGGUUCAACUCAAGACCUGGGACUGCUGGAUCCGCUGCCUACUUUGCACCGGAUAAGAUAAGAUUUUGGAUCCAAAGAAACACAUGGCCAUUUAACAAAGACUUGACUGACUGACUUAAAUUACUGAACUAAGAAAACAAAACUUCCAAAGGACGAACUGAACUAUAAGGAAUCUGAACCAAAAGAAAAUACACUGCCUGAUAAAAAAGGUGGACACUUUAUGUUGGAACAAAAAAAAAACUGUACCGUAAUAUUCUGUUUCAAGUUGUAUUAAAUAAUCUGUUCAUUCUUGAUAAUAUGGUUGUUUGUGCUUAUUAUCCUCCUUUUUGAACUUAGAAAGAUAGACUAACUGUAACUUCAACAUUGAAAUCUAAGUUUCUCAACUUAUCUAUUCGUAAGUUACACUAGUUGGUUACAUAAGUGGCGAGCCAGCCAGGAGGAUUUUAGGCUAUAAACAACCAAUAUAAAUAAUUGAUUAGUGAUCAGUGUGAUCAAAUAUUGUCUGAUAAUAACCAGACAAAAUAUGGCUUCUGUUGCUGACAUUGGUAGCGAGCAUGGUGUAAAUGACAGAAAAUCAAUCCUUUUGAAGGGCAUACUUGAUGAUGACACAGAUGGAGACAUUGUAGAGGCUGUAUCAUUAUAUGGUAGUGUCAGUAAAAUAGUGAGACUCAAAGACUUUCAAGUGAUUGUUGAGUUUGACUCAGAAGAGUCGCUAAAGCUCAUCAGUUUCCCCUCUGUGAUACAGUCUCCUAAGAACCCAGUCUCAAAAUGGUGUUUGGACAGAGUUGAGGUUUUAACUACUCCCACACAAUCACAGUCAGCCAUUGAUGAAAACCCUGAAGCCACAUGUUCCUUUAAAACUAUGCAGAAUGAACGGGGUAGCUCAGAUAGUACUGGAAGUGAAUCAGACAGCAGUGGAUCAUCUGUUAUAUUCAGUCCUCAAAAAUCACAACCUCCACCCAGUAAGCCAUUAAAAUCUGUCUCCAAAUCACAAGGUGGAA